GCUUAUAUGGUGUAGUCCGCACAUAAGGUUUUCAUUCUUAAGGGGGAUUUAUUUUCUAUAAGCU
rnacentral:tRNA from 1 species